AUGGAAGGAUUGCUACAUAGGGAUUUUGCUCCUGGCCUUGCUCUGGCCGACUAGGUGAGAAGAAAGUUCGGAUCAACAGUUCACUUUUCUCCCUCCCGAGACACCAAAGAAUUCUUUUUGGUGGUUUCUUUCUCUUCGGCCUCUUUCCCUCUUAUGGUGGAUUCAGUUGGGGUUGCUUUGCAAUGUUGCAUUGGGGGUAUUUGCUCUGGUUUUAGGGUGGCUCCCCUCACAGCAAGAUCCUUUCGUUUCUCCGUUGCCAAUAACAAGGUGGGACACUUCAUAUAUGGUCUCAAAGAUCGUGUGUGGCCGGACUUUGUUUGUCACUUCCACCUGUUCAAUGGCCGCUUUGUCAAAGCUCAUUCUCUUGAUAUGCAUUGGCAUGCUCACAAGCAGCUCGAUGAGAUCGUAGAUCGCAAGCCAAUGGCUCUAAAAACAUCGUUAAAUUUCUUGAGCAAAGGCAAUCCUAUGGAUCAUUCCUCCUCUGCUGAGCUUGCUAAGUUUGGUUUGUCAAUUUGGUUGAUUGGAAUUUCUCAAAUAAGAAUGCACAUGAAGCUUCAUCAUCCUCCAUGGAUCAAUCAAAUUUUCAGAAGCAAAAUAUUCAUAUUCAGUUUGGGUCUUUCGAGCCAGAAUCUUGUCCUAGCAUGA
rnacentral:rRNA from 1 species